rnacentral:rRNA from 1 species
ACGAAGUAGCAAUACUUAGUGGCGAACGGGUGAGUAUAAUGUGGGUAUCUGCCUUUUGGUGAGGAAUAACACGGGGAAACUUGUGCUAAUACCUCAUAAGCCUUCACAGGGAAAGUUUUAACGCCAAAAGAUGAGCCCGCACUUGAUAGCUAGUUGGUAAGGUAAUGGCUUACCAAGGCUACGAUCAAUAGCUGAUCUGAGAGGAUGAUCAGCCACAUUGGGACUGAGACACGGCCCAAACUCCUACGGGAGGCAGCAGUAGGGAAUCUUGCACAAUGGGGGAAACCCUGAUGCAGCGAUGCCGCGUGAGUGAAGAAGGCCUUUGGGUUGUAAAGCUCUCUCGUCGGGGAAGAAAAUGACUGUACCUGAAUAAGAAGGUCCGGCUAACUUCGUGCCAGCAGCCGCGGUAAUACGAAGGGACCUAGCGUAGUUCGGAAUUACUGGGCUUAAAGAGCUCGUAGGUGGUUAGAGAAGUUGGUGGUGAAAUCCCAAGGCUUAACCUUGGAACUGCCAUCAAAACUUUUUGACUAGAGUAUGAUAGAGGAAAGUGGAAUUUCUAGUGUAGAGGUGAAAUUCGUAGAUAUUAGAAAGAACACCGAUUGCGAAGGCAGCUUUCUGGAUCAUUACUGACACUGAGGAGCGAAAGCAUGGGUAGCGAAGAGGAUUAGAUACCCUCGUAGUCCAUGCCGUAAACGAUGUGUGCUAGACGUUGGAAAUUUAUUUUUCAGUGUCGCAGCGAAAGCGUUAAGCACACCGCCUGGGGAGUACGACCGCAAGGUUAAAACUCAAAUGAAUUGACGGGGACCCGCACAAGUAGUGGAGCAUGUGGUUUAAUUCGAAGAUACGCGCAGAACCUUACCAACACUUGACAUGUUUGUCGCGACUCUAGAGAUUAGAGUCUUCGGUUCGGCGGACAAAACACAGGUGCUGCAUGACUGUCGUCAGCUCGUGUCGUGAGAUGUGGUAGUCCCGCACGAGCGCACCCUAUUUUAGUGCUACCAUUAGUGGCACUCUAAGAACUGCAGUGAUAGCUGAGAGGCGGGGAUGACGUCAAGUCCUCAUGGCCUACUGGUGGGCUAACACCUGCUUACAAUGGUACCUACAGGGAGAGACAAAAAGGCGAACCUCUAAGCUAAUUCCUACAAAAGUACAUUCAGUUCGGAAUGAAUUCCUGCAACAGGAUACAUAGAAGGCUGGGAUACAAGUUAUCCGCGGAAUAUAUGAC